rnacentral:rRNA from 1 species
AUACGAAGGGGGCUAGCGUUAAUGGGAAUUACUGGGCGUAAAGGGUUCGUAGGCGGUUAUUUAAGUCAGAUGUGAAAGCCCCGGGCUCAACCUGGGAAUUGCAUCUGAUACUGGGUAACUAGAGUUUAAGAGAGGAGUGUGGAAUUUCCGGUGUAGCGGUGAAAUGCAUAGAGAUCGGAAGGAACAUCAGUGGCGAAGGCGGCACUCUGGCUUAAAACUGACGCUGAGGAACGAAAGCGUGGGUAGCAAACAGGAUUAGAAACCCUAGUAGUCC